UACAGAGGCCCCAAGCAUUAUCCGGAUUCACUGGGCGUAAAGGGUGCGUAGGCGGUGUUAUUAGUCGGGUGUUAAAUCCUGGGGCUCAACCUCAGAAUCGCAUUCGAAACGGUAAUACUAGAAGAAGUCAGAGGUAAACAGAACUCUCGGUGUAGGGGUGAAAUCCGUUGAUAUCGAGGGGAAUACCAAGUGCGAAGGCAGUUUACUGGGACUUUCUUGACGCUGAGGCACGAAAGCGUGGGUAGCGAAUCGG
rnacentral:misc_RNA from 1 species